rnacentral:rRNA from 1 species
AUUGAACGCUGGCGGCAUGCUUUACACAUGCAAGUCGAACGGUAACAGCACUUCGGUGGCUGACGAGUGGCGAACGGGCGAGUAAUACAUCGGAACGUGCCGAGUAGUGGGGGAUAACUACUCGAAAGAGUAGCUAAUACCGCAUGAGAUCUAAGGAUGAAAGCAGGGGACCUGCGGGCCUUGCGCUACUAGAGCGGCUGAUGGCAGAUUAGGUAGUUGGUGGGAUAAAAGCGUACCAAGCCGACGAUCUGUAGCUGGUCUGAGAGGAUGACCGGCCACACUGGGACUGAGACACGGCCCAGACUCCUACGGGAGGCAGCAGUGGGGAAUUUUGGACAAUGGGCGCAAGCCUGAUCCAGCAAUGCCGCGUGCAGGAUGAAGGCCUUCGGGUUGUAAACUGCUUUUGUACGGAACGAAAAGCCCUCUUCUAAUACAGGAGGGUCAUGACGGUACCGUACGAAUAAGCACCGGCUAACUACGUG